UAUUUUUUUUAAACUAUUUAAAU
rnacentral:tRNA from 3 species